AUUGAACGCUGGCGGCAGGCCUAACACAUGCAAGUCGAGCGGUAGAGAGAAGCUUGCUUCUCUUGAGAGCGGCGGACGGGUGAGUAAUGCCUAGGAAUCUGCCUGGUAGUGGGGGAUAACGUUCGGAAACGGACGCUAAUACCGCAUACGUCCUACGGGAGAAAGCAGGGGACCUUCGGGCCUUGCGCUAUCAGAUGAGCCUAGGUCGGAUUAGCUAGUUGGUGAGGUAAUGGCUCACCAAGGCGACGAUCCGUAACUGGUCUGGGAGGAUGAUCAGUCACACUGGAACUGAGACACGGUCCGGACUCCUACGGGAGGCAGCAGUGGGGAAUAUUGGACAAUGGGCGAAAGCCUGAUCCAGCCAUGCCGCGUGUGUGAAGAAGGUCUUCGGAUUGUAAAGCACUUUAAGUUGGGAGGAAGGGUUGUAGAUUAAUACUCUGCAAUUUUGACGUUACCGACAGAAUAAGCACCGGCUAACUCUGUGCCAGCCGCCGCAGUAA
rnacentral:rRNA from 1 species